rnacentral:ncRNA from 2 species
UAUCGUAUGCGCGCGUCUGGUGCCGUGCCUGGGUUCGCUUGCACGGUUAAACGGGAAACAGGGAAGCGCCUCAUUUGCACGGCACGCGUCGUGCGGCGAACGAAGCGCUCAGCCUGUGCUGUCCCCGCAACGGUCACGCGGCGAGUGGAAGAGCAACUUCCGCGCAGUGCGUUCAAGGCCACUGCCUGCAUCAUGCGGGUGGGAAGGCGAGCGCGAUGAGCCGCCAGCCCGGAUACCGGCCAGAUGCAAGGGGGCGAC